GGCUCAUGCUCCCGUAGAGUCCGUGUUGACGGGGAGGUUGGGGACAGCGAUGUUGGUGCAUCGCAUAGUGGGGCUGGGGUGUGUUCGAAUGUGGGGUCUGGUCGGCCAUUAAAGCGGUACGCGAGCUUGGUUCGGAACUGCGUGAGACAGUUCGGUCCCUUUCCGUCGCGGGGGCAGGAAAGUUGGGAGGACCUGUCCGUAGUACGAGAGGACCGGGAUGGACAUACCGCUGGUGUACCAGUUGUGUCGCUAGUAGAUCCGCUGGGUAGCUAUGUAUGGACUAGAUAAACGCUGAAAUCAUAUAAGUUUGAAACUCGCCUCUAGAUGAGAUUGCCUAUUUCCUUCGGGAAAGUAAGACCCCUCAGAGAUGAUG
rnacentral:rRNA from 2 species